ACCCGCUGAACUUAAGCAUAUCAAUAAGCGGAGGAAAAGAAACCAACAGGGAUUGCCUCAGUAACGGCGAGUGAAGCGGCAUAAGCUCAAAUUUGAAAUCUGGCUCUUUCAGGGUCCGAGUUGUAAUUUGUAGAAGAUGUUUCGGGUGUGGUUCCGGUCUAAGUUCCUUGGAACAGGACGUCAUAGAGGGUGAGAAUCCCGUAUGUGACUGGAUACCUACGCUCAUGUGAAACUCUUUCGACGAGUCGAGUUGUUUGGGAAUGCAGCUCAAAAUGGGUGGUAUAUUUCAUCUAAAGCUAAAUAUUGGCCAGAGACCGAUAGCCACAAGUAGAGUGAUCGAAAGAUGAAAAGCACUUUGGAAAGAGAGUUAAACAGUACGUGAAAUUGUUGAAAGGGAAGCGCUUGCAAUCAGACUUGCGCCUAGUUGAUCAUCUGGGCUUCUGCCUAGUGCACUCAAUUAGGCUCAGGCCAGCAUCGGUUUGGGUGGUUGGAUAAAGGCUUAGGGAACGUGGCCCCCUUCGGGGGGUGUUAUAGCCCUAGGUGCAAUGCAGCCUACCUGGACCGAGGACCGCGCUUCGGCUAGGAUGCUGGCGUAAUGGUUGUAAGCGACCCGUCUUGAAACACGG
rnacentral:rRNA from 1 species